rfam:Jatropha curcas cultivar GZQX0401 scaffold729_9, whole genome shotgun sequence.
GGCCUGUGAUGCAUAUGCAAUUUGUCCGUACCAUCUGAUGAUAUUCUCAGUUGAUGUAUCGAAGCAUUGUUAGCUACUGAGGCCU